UCAACAGCACAGUUCUGUGGUCGCCAGGUGAUUGAGUCGCGUGAGCUGCUUAUUUGGGGAGCGAAUGCAGACAUCGGUAGCAACGUUCAGCGGACAGAUCCCAUUUCCAUGCUUAGAAGAAGCAGGUAGAUGUACCUCCAGCAGCAGCGAGCGGUUUUUUUUUCUCCUUUUUUUUUUCCUCUUCGGUCCGCUUUAGACAAGGGAUCGGCCUCAACCUUCUUCCUCACUCAGGCCCUGCAACUCCCAUUCACGCAAGUGGUCGGUCUCCCUGGCUCUCGCGAUCUCUCUGCUCUCACGCCUCCAACCCGCCCGAUUUCUCUUUGGCUCUCGGAUUCUCUCUACUUCUCACGUCUCUGGCCCCUCUCUCCUCUGAUCUCCUCGCAGUGGCUGGCUUCCCCACCUCCAGGCUAGUUUUUCGACCGGAUCUCUUCCAGUUGACCGGGACGCCAGCCGCCAGUCCCGAUCCCUUCACAGAACCGACUUCGUCGAGCUACUGGUCCUCUUGUGGGCGUUGCAAGACUCUUUUCUCGUCAUCUCUCUCGGCAGCCGAUCCACAUCAGGUUUUUCCUUCCUCUAGCUUCCCGCAACCUCUCCGUCAGCCUUCAAGCUUGUCGGGGUUAGCCACCGGACUUCUCACCGACGAACCACUUCCUCCCCACAGGUACGUCGGAUCUUGCAUACGCGUUGGUUAGCGGGUCUUGUUUGCUUGGAGUCUUAUGAGAAGGCUCCUAUGCUUUGUCGGGAGUCUGCGGAAAUGCCUCGAAAUGCCACGGUCUGGAGUUAUGGGUGCAAAGCUCGAGCCAGAGUUAGUUCGAGCCUGGCUCGUUAAUUAUGCAGUUGGCUCGAACUCAAACUCGAGCACGACUUGAGAGUCUGCAUUCCAGGCUCAAAUUCAACUCGUUAGCUUGAGCUUGAAAAAUCGGUUUGAGCUCGACUCGAGUGCUCAAUCGAUAAACGGCUCGAAUUGAAUAUUUUCUUAAGAAAUUUUCACCAUCAAAAUGAUGCUUUGAUGUAGUAUGGAUUAUUUUUGAAUUGAAUGCUUUUUUAUAAUAUUUUUUACCAAAACACUUGCAUAUCGUUCUUCUAAAUAGAAGGAAAAACACUCAAUCCUCUCACAGAUUGAUCAUUGAUGUAAACAAGAAUAGUAACUAUUAAAUGAAAAUUAAAGAUUUGAAAUCAUCAAAUUGUUAUUUGUGCCGAUCAAAUCAUCAAUGACGUAGUGCAUUCACAUCAUACAGAGCUUUGAAAUCAAAGGAAAAUACAACUACAAAUGUUUGUACAAAGUUUAAAUUACAUAUACUAAAGUAACUAAACUAGAACAUCACGAAAUCAACAAAAAGGAAAAAUAAUUUCUCCAUGCUUUCUUCAUCUUUGACAACCUGUAAAUAAUAACAAGAAUAUUAUAGAGCUUGCCAAAAUUUCAAGAUAAUGAAAAAUACAUAAAACAAAUAACCAACAAGACAUUACCAAUUUUCACUUCUCCAAGCCUUUAACAUAUUUUCCUAAAUUUUGGUGCCAAAUGUCAAUCUACAAAAUUUAAAAGAAAGUUGGUGAAUCAUUAAAUCAAUUGUCUGCAUCUUUAGUUAUAAAAAUAUUUCAAAUAAAAUCACUUUGCCAUAAAAAUCAGAUUAAGUACAUGGAAUUGGUAUCUCAAUCUCUUCAUCGUCCUCUUCCGGUGAUAAAAUAAACACUCAACAAAUUACUAAAACAUUGCAAAUGGAUACAUUCAUCCUACCCUUCAAGCUAUAGUGAGUAUGAGGGCAAGUUUGGGUGGAUUAUGAUGCCCGUUGUAAUGCAUGUAUGAGGACAUUUUAAUAUAUUUAGCAGUAAUCGGCUGCGCAAGCGACUAUCAUUUAUAUGCGUACAAUGUUUUAUUUAAGAUCUUGUAGAUGCCUUCUAUCCUCUUGUAUGAGUAUUGCGGAUCCGAUGGCAUGACACUAUGUUAGGCUUCAUUUUUUCAUGUAUUAACGAUGCCGUUUAGCUCAUUUCAUCUAUUGCAUGUUGUCACUUUCUUCAGCAUUUAGCCCGUAAGGGUUUACUUUUACCUACAAAUGCAUUGCUUGAUGCAUCGGGGUCUUCCACCUGUCGUUUGCAUGUAAGUUGGUUUAUAUGGUAUGAUUAUUAAAUGUCGUAGAUUUAUUACUUUGAUAUGUUGGUUGUUUGCAGUUUCUACUAUAGAUUUCCCACUUUGUUUAUAGGUAAAUCAUGGCGUUAUCAUCUAACACAACCAUGAGAUGCUUUGUUGUUUUAAUGUAGGCUUAAUCCUUAUCUAUAGCAGCAAUGACAUGAGUUGUAUUAUGCUUCUAUUUAUAAUUUACAAGCACAUCACCUGGUCUAACAAACUUCUUAUAGUUGUCUUAUGUUUUUAGAGAUUAGCUGCUCAAGUCAUCCAAUCUUGCUUAGACUAGAUGAGGUCAUCUGAACUACCUUAGGCUACUUUGUGGUAGAUGUGAUAUCAUAAAUUGAUGAAACUAAAUGCUCGAUUGAUGUAUCAUUAGGCUUUUAUGAUUUAUGAUGAGGUAAUCUCCUUGGAGGAUGGUCAUGAGCUUGAGGGACACAUUUUAUGCAUUUAUAAUGCACAUGUAGGACAUCAGGUCGGAAAGCUUGAUUUCCAGAUUUUUACUCAGACAGUGGUAACAUUUCAUUAGAAGCUUCAUCAUUUCUGAGGAGAUGAUAAGAUAUACAAGUCUCAAUGGUACUUUUACCUAGAUCAAUUUUGAUGUGCCUUCCCAUAAUCACAUUUUCAGUUGAUCAUUCUUUGACUCUACAAAAUCAUUCAAUCUUACAUGUUUGGUGCCACUUUUAAGACCUUCCUUUAGUCACAUAUCAGCAGGGUUUUUUUUUUAAACCAAGAUGCCUUUAUCCUAACUAUCACUAUCAAAAUCUCUGAAGUUGUCAGUUGGAUAACUUAAUUUUACUUGAUCAGCAAAGCCCCCUGCUCUAAUAGAAUGAGGACACUUCUAUUUUUAUAGGGGAUCUACCACACUUGCAUCAUCUCUAUCACCACUACUUGCAGGUAUUCAUGUUUAUAGUGGGCUCUUAAUUUCAACUUUCAUAUGAACCUUCACAUCGUAUGUUCCUCGCUUGUACAUCUACUACAGAUCCAUAGAUAUGCUUCUAAGGAAACCACUAUACUUGCAUCAUGUCCACCAUCAUCAUUCACUAGUGGUUUAGUGUACUUGCCUUGUAGUGACAAGUUAUAUCCAAGAAGUUGAUGUUGGCUACAAGAUAUUUCUACAUUCAUUGUCUGUAGCCCUUGUAUGAACUGUUAUGUGCAUGACAUGUAUUUUUACCAUCAAUUACAAGUGUCGCCACUUUCAUCUAUGAGCUAGUUGUUGCUUGCAUAACAUGUUGACUUGGAAGAAGUUUGAUCGAUUAUGUGAUAAGGGCUAGGGCUUGCAGCUGCAAUUUAUUAGAGGUUGUAGAUUGGCUUUAACUACUGAUGAUAGUACCAUUUUUAACCACCAAUAAUAGGACUGAUUUUAACAAUUUCUUAGAUAUUCAUUUAGAGGCGGUUUUAAAACGUCCACUAUUGAGUGUUGCGAAAAUAUCAAAAUUUUCAUAUCGCUUAUAUAUCUAAUUUAAGACAAAUGUAUUUAAGAUUUUAAUAAAAUAAAAAUAACAAUAAUAAUAUAUUGUUGAAAAUUGAAGCAAUAUAUGACAUCAAAUUUAUUAUAAUAGAAAACAAUUGGGCAAGAGGUUUGUUUAUAAAGAAUAAAUGUGUAUAUAUAU